UCGGGAAUUUUGGGCAAUGGGCGAAAGCCUGACCCAGCAACGCCGCGUGAGGGAUGAAGUAUUUCGGUAUGUAAACCUCGAAAGAAUGGGAAGAAUAAAUGACGGUACCAUUUAUAAGCUCCGGCUAACUACGUGCCAGCAGCCGCGGUAAUACGUAGGGAGCAAGCGUUGUUCGGAUUUACUGGGCGUAAAGGGCGCGUAGGCGGCGCGGUAAGUCACUUGUGAAAUCUCUGAGCUUAACUCAGAACGGCCAAGUGAUACUGCUGUGCUAGAGUGCGGAAGAGGCAACCGGAAUUCUUGGUGUAGCGGUGAAAUGCGUAGAUAUCAAGAGGAACACCUGAGGCGAAGGCGGGUUGCUGGGCCGACACUGACGUUGAUGCGCGAAAGCCAGGGGAGCAAACG
rnacentral:rRNA from 1 species